CGAGGAACAUGUACUAGGGUCC
rnacentral:miRNA from 1 species